CACCCUGAAUCGGGUGUUGGGACACUGUCAGUUGGGCAGUUUGACUGGGGCGGUCGCCUCCUAAAAAGUAACGGAGGCGUUCAAAGGUUCGCUCAGAAUGGACGGAAACCAUUUAUAGAGUGCAAAGGCAAAAGCGAGCUUGACUGUGACACCUACAAGUGGAGCAGAUACGAAAGUAGGACUUAGUGAUCCGGUGGUACCGAGUGGAAGGGCCAUCGCUCAACGGAUAAAAGCUACCCCGGGGAUAACAGGCUUAUCUCCCCCAAGAGUUCACAUCGACGGGGAGGUUUGGCACCUCGAUGUCGGCUCGUCUCAUCCUGGGGCUGGAGUAGGUCCCAAGGGUUGGGCUGUUCGCCCAUUAAAGAGGCACGCGAGCUGGGUUCAGAACGUCGCGAGACAGUUCGGUCCCUAUCCAGCGUGGGCGUAAGAAAUUUGAGAGGAGCUGUCCUUAGUACGAGAGGACCGGGAUGGACAGACCGCUGGUGUAUCAGUUGUCAUGCCAAUGGCACGGCUGAGUAGCUAAGUCUGGAAGGGAUAAGUGCUGAAGGCAUCUAAGUACGAAGCCCCCCUCAAGAUAAGAUUUCUAAAAGAGUCCUUGUAGAAAAUGAGGUUGAUAGGUCGAAGGUGGAAGUGCAGUAAUGUAUGUAGCUAAUCGAUACUAAUAACUCGAAAGUUUGACCAGAAAU
rnacentral:rRNA from 1 species